UAUAUUAAGAGUUUGAUCCUAGCUCAGGAUGAACGCUGGCGGCGUGGAUAAGGCAUGCAAGUCAAGCGGCCGCACUACAUUGCAUUUCGUGCAGCAUACUCUAAUUAAUCUCGAAUUUGGCCGAGAAUACUCGGCCUCCCCAAUCAGUCUCGAAUACGGAAUUCGAGACAAUUAGGGACAAAAUUAGGGAAUGAUUAGAGAAUAAGCGCACGGAGCGCAGCGUAGUGCGGCAGCGGCAGACGAGGUAGUAAUAAGUAGGAAUGUCCCCCGAAGUCAGGAAUAGCCAGUCGAAAGAUUGGGUAAUACCUGAUGGUCUGACCGCAUCACAUGGAAUGUGAAUUAAGUUUAUCAAGUUCAUAAAGUUGCAAGUUUAUAAAGUAAGACCGAUGCCGGAUUUUAGAGGCUCGCUUUUCUUACUUGAUGAACUUUAUAACUUUUUACUUUAUAAACUGAUUUCGCGUCUCAUGUGAUGCGGUUAGUAAAGUCGUAAGACGCUUUGGGAACAGCCUACUCGGUAUCAGCUAGAUGGUAGGGUAACGGCCUACCAUGGCUAUGACGCCUAGGGGAGGUGAGAGCCUGACCCCCACCGAUCGCACUGAGAUUCGGGCGAUACAUCUACGGUUGGCCGCAGUCGAGAUUCUUCCGCAAUGGGCGAUAGCCUGACGUAGCGACGCAGCGUGAUGGUUGAAGUUCUUAGGAAUGUAAA
rnacentral:rRNA from 1 species